rnacentral:rRNA from 1 species
GGUCUUUAGUUUUUUAUUUAAGAUCAGGCCUGCCCAUUGAUUUGAAAUAUUAAAAGGCUGCGGUAUUUUAACUGUACGAAGGUAGCAUAAUCACUUGUCUUUUAAUUGGAGGCUAGAAUGAAUGGUUAGAUGAGAAAUAAACUUUCUUUUUUUAAUUAAUUUUAAUUUAAUUUUUUAGUUAAAAAGCUAAAAUUUUUUUAUAGGACGAGAAGACCCUAUAGAAGUUAACUAUAUUAAUAAUUUUUUGUUUUAUGUUAUUAAAAUAUUUUUUUAAAUUAUAUAGUUUUGUUGGGGUGACAUUAAAAUUUUUUUAACUUUUAUUUUUUUUAUUCAUUAAUUUAUGUUUUUUUGAUCCAUUAUUAUUGAUUAAAAGUUUAACUUACCUUAGGGAUAACAGCGUAAUUUUUUCGGAGAGUUCAUAUCGAUGAAUAAAGUUUGCGA